UACGAAGGGGGGCUAGCGUUGUUCGGAGUUACUGGGCGUAAAGGGCGCGUAGGCGGCGCACCAAGUCAGGCGUGAAAGCCCCUGGGCUCAACCCGGGAAUUGCGCUUGAGACUGGUGUGCUUGAGUACGGGAGAGGAUAGUGGAAUUCCCAGUGUAGAGGUGAAAUUCGUAGAUAUUGGGGAAGAACACCGGUGGCGAAGGCGGCUCUCUGGACCGAGACUGACGCUGAGGCGCGAAAGCGUGGGGAGCAAACAGG
rnacentral:rRNA from 1 species